rnacentral:miRNA from 1 species
UCCGAGCUCGAGGAACUUCCCCUC